GACGUAGGGGGCCAGCGUUGCUCGGAAUUACUGGGUGUAAAGGGUUCGUAGGCGGUGUGGCAAGUCGGGAGUGAAAUCUCUGGGCUCAACCCAGAGUCUGCUUCCGAAACUGCUGUGCUUGAGUGUGGGAGAGGCGCGUGGAAUUGCAGGUGUAGCGGUGAAAUGCGUAGAUAUCUGGAGGAACACCGGUGGCGAAGGCGACAUCCUGGACCAACACUGACGCUGAGUGAGCGAAAGCCAGGGGAGCAAACGGG
rnacentral:rRNA from 1 species